AUACGUAGGUGACGAGCGUUAUCCGGAAUUAUUGGGUGUAAAGGGUGCGUAGGCGGGCUGUAAAGUCAGAUGUGAAAUACCGGGGCUUAACUCCGGAGCUGCAUUUGAAACUUACGGUCUUGAGUGAAGUAGAGGUAAGCGGAAUUCCCAGUGUAGCGGUGAAAUGCGUAGAUAUUGGGAGGAACACCAGUGGCGAAGGCGGCUUACUGGGCUUUUACUGACGCUGAGGCACGAAAGUGUGGGGAGCAAACAGGAUUAGAUACCCUGGUAGUCCACACCGUAAACGAUGAUUACUAGGUGUAGGGCGGCUGAAACCGUUCUGUGCCGGAGUUAACACAAUAAGUAAUCCACCUGGGGAGUACGGCCGCAAGGUUGAAACUCAAAUGAAUUGACGGGG
rnacentral:rRNA from 1 species